rnacentral:rRNA from 1 species
UACGUAGGGGGCAAGCGUUAUCCGGAUUUACUGGGUGUAAAGGGCGCGUAGGCGGAAAAUUAAGUCAGAUGUGAAAUCCCGAGGCUCAACUUCGGGACUGCAUCUGAAACUGGUUUUCUAGAGUGCAGGAGAGGAAAGCGGAAUUCUCAGUGUAGCGGUGAAAUGCGUAGAUAUUGAGAGGAACACCAGUGGCGAAGGCGGCUUUCUGGACUGUAACUGACGCUGAGGCGCGAAAGCGUGGGGAGCAAACAGG